CCCUUGGAGCGUCACACAAACGAGAGUAGCCAAGGCGAAAUCGGACGCGUUGAAUUGGGAA
rfam:Alicyclobacillus sp. RIFOXYA1_FTLL_53_8 rifoxya1_full_scaffold_4782, whole genome shotgun sequence.